UACGAGAGGCCCAAACGUUAUUCGGAAUUACUGGGCUUAAAGAGUUCGUAGGCGGCGCAGAAAGUAGGGGGUGAAAGCCCUCGGCUUAACCGAGGAAUUGCGGCCUAAACUACUGUGCUUGAGGAACCUAGAGGUGAGCAGAACAGAUGGUGGAGCGGUGAAAUGCGUUGAUAUCAUCUGGAAUACCGGAGGCGAAGGCGGCUCACUGGGGGUUUUCUGACGCUGAGGAACGAAAGCCAGGGUAGCGAACGGG
rnacentral:rRNA from 1 species